UUCAAAAGUGGUGUAGUGCUUUGAGUGCUGGACUAUGACUCUGGAGACCAGGGUUCGAUUCCCAGCCAUGAAA